UGGGGAAUUUUGCACAAUGGGGGAAACCCUGAUGCAGCGACGCCGCGUGAUUUAGAAGGCCUUCGGGUUGUAAAAAUCUUUUCUAUGGGAAGAAAAUGACAGUACCAUAGGAAUAAGGACCGGCUAAUUACGUGCCAGCAGCCGCGGUAAUACGUAAGGUCCGAGCGUUGUCCGGAAUCAUUGGGCGUAAAGGGUACGUAGGCGGGUAAGCAAGUUAGAAGUGAAAUCCUAUAGCUCAACUAUAGUAAGCUUUUAAAACUGCUCAUCUUGAGGUAUGGAAGGGAAAGUGGAAUUCCUAGGGUAGCGGUGAAAUGCGCAGAUAUUAGGAGGAAUACCGGUGGCGAAGGCGACUUUCUGGCCAUAACCUGACGCUGAGGUACGAAAGCGUGGGUAGCAAACAGG
rnacentral:rRNA from 2 species